rnacentral:rRNA from 1 species
AUUGAACGCUGGCGGCAGGCCUAACACAUGCAAGUCGAACGGUAACAGGAAGAAGCUUGCUUCUUUGCUGACGAGUGGCGGACGGGUGAGUAAUGUCUGGGAAACUGCCUGAUGGAGGGGGAUAACUACUGGAAACGGUAGCUAAUACCGCAUAACGUCGCAAGACCAAAGGGGGGGACCUUCGGGCCUCUUGCCAUCGGAUGUGCCCAGAUGGGAUUAGCUAGUAGGUGGGGUAACGGCUCACCUAGGCGACGAUCCCUAGCUGGUCUGAGAGGAUGACCAGCCACACUGGAACUGAGACACGGUCCAGACUCCUACGGGAGGCAGCAGUGGGGAAUAUUGCACAAUGGGCGCAAGCCUGAUGCAGCCAUGCCGCGUGUAUGAAGAAGGCCUUCGGGUUGUAAAGUACUUUCAGCGGGGAGGAAGGGAGUAAAGUUAAUACCUUUACUCAUUGACGUUACCCGCAGAAGAAGCACCGGCUAACUCCGUG